CUGAUUGGACGUGCUUGCACGGACUUGACGUUGGUUUACCAGCGAGUGGCGGACGGGUGAGUAACACGUAGGUAACCUGCCCCAAAGCGGGGGAUAACAUUUGGAAACAGAUGCUAAUACCGCAUAACAAUUUGAAUCGCAUGAUUCAAAUUUAAAAGAUGGCUUCGGCUAUCACUUUGGGAUGGACCUGCGGCGCAUUAGCUUGUUGGUAGGGUAACGGCCUACCAAGGCUGUGAUGCGUAGCCGAGUUGAGAGACUGAUCGGCCACAAUGGAACUGAGACACGGUCCAUACUCCUACGGGAGGCAGCAGUAGGGAAUCUUCCACAAUGGGCGCAAGCCUGAUGGAGCAACACCGCGUGAGUGAAGAAGGGUUUCGGCUCGUAAAGCUCUGUUGUUAGAGAAGAACGUGCGUGAGAGCAACUGUUCACGCAGUGACGGUAUCUAACCAGAAAGUCACGGCUAACUACGUGCCAGCAGCCGCGGUAAUACGUAGGUGGCAAGCGUUAUCCGGAUUUAUUGGGCGUAAAGCGAGCGCAGGCGGUUUGAUAAGUCUGAUGUGAAAGCCUUUGGCUUAACCAAAGAAGUGCAUCGGAAACUGUCAGACUUGAGUGCAGAAGAGGACAGUGGA
rnacentral:rRNA from 1 species